UACGUAGGGUGCGAGCGUUAAUCGGAAUGACUGGGCGUAAAGGGUGCGUAGGCGGUUUGCUAAGACGGAUGUGAAAUCCCCGGGCUCAACCUGGGAACAGCAUAUGUGACUGGCAGGCUAGAGUAUAGAAGAGGGGGGUAGAAUUCCACGUGUAGCAGUGAAAUGCGUAGAGAUGUGGAGGAAUACCGAUGGCGAAGGCAGCCCCCUGGUCAUAUACUGACGCUGAGGCACGAAAGCGUGGGGAGCAAACAGG
rnacentral:rRNA from 1 species